rnacentral:rRNA from 1 species
AGAUAUGUGGAGGAACACCGAUGGCGAAGGCAGCCCCCUGGGAUAACACUGACGCUCAUGUACGAAAGCGUGGGUAGCAAACAGGAUUAGAUACCCUGGUAGUCCACGCCCUAAACGAUGUCAACUGGUUGUUGGGGGAGUGAAAUCCCUUAGUAACGAAGCUAACGCGUGAAGUUGACCGCCUGGGGAGUACGGUCGCAAGAUUAAAACUCAAAGGAAUUGACGGGGACCCGCACAAGCGGUGGAUGAUGUGGAUUAAUUCGAUGCAACGCGAAAAACCUUACCUACCCUUGACAUGUCCAGAACCCUGCAGAGAUGCGGGGUGCCCGAAAGGGAAUUGGAACACAGGUGCUGCAUGGCUGUCGUCAGCUCGUGUCGUGAGAUGUUGGGUUAAGUCCCGCAACGAGCGCAACCCUUAUCAUUAGUUGCUACGCAAGGGCACUCUAAUGAGACUGCCGGUGACAAACCGGAGGAAGGUGGGGAUGACGUCAAGUCCUCAUGGCCCUUAUGGGUAGGGCUUCACACGUCAUACAAUGGUCGGUACAGAGGGUUGCCAAGCCGCGAGGUGGAGCCAAUCCCAGAAAGCCGAUCGUAGUCCGGAUUGUUCUCUGCAACUCGAGAGCAUGAAGUCGGAAUCGCUAGUAAUCGUAGAUCAGAAUGCUACGGUGAAUACGUUCCCGGGCCUUGUACACACCGCCCGUCACACCAUGGGAGUGGGUGCAAAAGAAGUAGGUAGCUAACCUUCGGGAGGGCGCUACCACU